rnacentral:rRNA from 1 species
UACGUAGGGGGCAAGCGUUGUCCGGAUUUAUUGGGCGUAAAGAGCGUGUAGGCGGCCUGAAAGGUCAGCUGUGAAAACUCGGGGCUCAACCCUGAGACGUCGGUUGAAACCAUCUGGCUAGAGUCCGGAAGAGGAGUGUGGAAUUCCCGGUGUAGCGGUGAAAUGCGCAGAUAUCGUUUGGAACGCCAAUGGUGAAAACAACUUGCUGGGGGUGUGCUGACGCUGAGACACGAAAGCCAGGGGAGCAAACGGG